GACGAACGCUGGCGGCGUGCCUAACACAUGCAAGUCGAGCGGAGAAUGCAGAAAUGUUUACAUGGAAGCGUUCUUAGCGGCGGACGGGUGAGUAACACGUGGGUAACCUGCCUCAAAGUGGGGGAUAGCCUUCCGAAAGGAAGAUUAAUACCGCAUAAGCCUACAGUGCCGCAUGGCACAGCAGGAAAAGGAGCAAUCCGCUUUGAGAUGGACCCGCGGCGCAUUAGCUAGUUGGUGAGGUAACGGCUCACCAAGGCGACGAUGCGUAGCCGACCUCGAGAGGGUGAUCGGCCACAUUGGAACUGAGACACGGUCCAGACUCCUACGGGAGGCAGCAGUGGGGAAUAUUGCACAAUGGGCGAAAGCCUGAUGCAGCAACGCCGCGUGAGUGAUGAAGGC
rnacentral:rRNA from 1 species